rnacentral:rRNA from 1 species
UACGGAGGGUGCAAGCGUUGUCCGGAAUUACUGGGCGUAAAGCGUGCGCAGGCGGUUGUGCAAGACAGAUGUGAAAUCCCCGGGCUCAACCUGGGAAUUGCAUUUGUGACUGCACGGCUAGAGUGUGUCAGAGGGGGGUAGAAUUCCACGUGUAGCAGUGAAAUGCGUAGAGAUGUGGAGGAAUACCGAUGGCGAAGGCAGCCCCCUGGGAUAACACUGACGCUCAUGCACGAAAGCGUGGGGAGCAAACAGG